GUCACCUGAACAAAAGCACUAUCUAUCGGUCACAUGACUCGUGUUUUGGACAGUUUCAGCGCAUUUCUCGUUUUAGAGCGACACACACCUGCAGUCGGUCUUUGAAACACGAGUGAAGCGACAGCAGCAUGGCUCACCCCGGCACGCACUCUCCUCGUCUGUGGGUCUGGCUCCUGCUGGUGGUCGUGAGUCGCACAGCGGAGCCGGUGUGCGGAGUCUGGCCGCUGCCGCAACAGAUCCAUCAGUCCCCGGACAGAUACAGUCUGAGUCCGCAGCUCUUCUCCUUCACUUACGGAAAGGACUCGGCAGCUCAGACUGGAUGCUCCGUCCUGGAUGCUGCUUUCAAAAGAUACUUCUCCAUCAUAUUCCCUGACUUUACAAAAGGACCAGAAAACGGGCUUCGUUACUGGUCGGAGUCCAAACCCUUUGUGGUGUCGGUGAGUGUCAAAAGCAGAGGAUGUGACGGCUACCCUGGUGAAGAUUCAGAUGAGAGCUAUAACCUGAGUGUUUCUGAAGGCCAGGCUGUUCUGAGAUCAGUGACUGUAUGGGGUUCUCUGAGAGGUCUGGAGUCCUUCAGUCAGCUUGUGUACCAGGACGAUUAUGGCUCUUAUUUUCUCAACAAGACAGAGAUUGUAGACUUCCCACGGUUUGCAUUCAGAGGACUUUUACUGGACACUUCAAGGCAUUAUUUACCCCUCCAUGCUAUUUUGAAGACCUUGGAUGCCAUGGCUUACAGUAAACUCAACGUCUUUCACUGGCACAUCGUGGAUGAUCCCUCUUUUCCGUACCAGAGCCGCACCUUUCCUGACCUCAGCAAUAAGGGAGCUUUUCAUCCGUUCACUCAUAUCUACACACAGUCAGAUGUGAUGAGAGUGAUUGAACAUGCGAGAAUGAGAGGCAUUAGAGUCGUACCGGAGUUUGACUCGCCUGGACACACUCAGUCAUGGGGGAAAGGACAGCCAGACCUCUUGACACCAUGUUACAGGGGAGACGUACCCUCUGGUUCAUUUGGACCCGUCGAUCCAACGGUAGACACCACUUAUAAAUUCAUGGAACGCCUCUUAAAAGAGGUGAAAUAUGUCUUUCCUGACUCAUAUGUUCACUUAGGAGGGGAUGAGGUCAGUUUUGCCUGCUGGCAGUCCAAUCCCAAUGUGCUAAAGUUUAUGGGAAAGAUGGGCUUUGGGAAGGAUUUUACCAAACUGGAAUCAUUCUAUAUGGAGAGCAUAAUGAACAUGACUGCCGCGCUCAACAAAACCUCCAUUGUCUGGCAGGACGUGUUUGACUACCGUGAGCGACCCAGAGCGAAGUACGUGGUGGAGGUUUGGAAGCAGGGAUGUUACCUGUGCGAGAUGCGCCGGGUCACUAAAGCAGGGUUAAAGGUCAUCCUGGCGGCUCCUUUCUACCUCGACCUGCCGAUACCCACUCACAGCUGGGCCCGCUACUACAUCGUGCGGCCCCUAGCCUUUAAGGAUUCCACAGGACACGGUUCUGGAGAUCUGGAAGGGUGAAGGUUACCAGGCUGAACUGAGCAAGAUGACCAAGGCCGGGCACAGGGUUCUGCUCUCUGCCCCCUGGUACAUUAACCACAUCAGCUACGGCCAGGACUGGUGUGUUUCCUACGCAGUGCAGCCCCAGAAUUUCUCCGGGACAGAAGAACAGAAGAAGUUGGUGAUCGGAGGAGAGGUCGCCAUGUGGGGUGAAUAUGUCGACGCCACCAAUCUGAGCCCACGUCUGUGGCCGAGAGCCUGUGCUGCAGCGGAGAGGUUGUGGAGCGAUGAAGAAAAAACUCUGAACGCAGAUCUAGCCUUCCCUCGCCUGGAAGAGUUUCGCUGUGAACUUCUAAGGCGGGGGGUCCAGGCGGAGCCUCUGUUUGUUGGCCACUGUAAGCAUGAGUAUAACGGGCUGUAAGUUCACCGAUGAGCCACUAAAACUGAAGAGGGAUCUGUUUUGCACUGGAAUAUUGCUUCUGAAUUUGCACUAUAAUUUUUUAUGAUCAUGUAAACUGACUUUUGCUAAAGAAAAUGUAAUUUUUUUUAAAUAAAGACCUCUGCAAGAAUGAUUUUCAA